CAAACUCAACAUCCAAACAAAUUUGGGUGGAGACCAUCUGCCCCCACAGGUGACGAUAAAUACAACUCACUGUAGAGUAAGAUAUGGGGGUGCCAAAAAAGAAGUUAGAAUGCACGGUAUGGACAACAACUCCUGUAAGAAUUCAAAGCAGUCAACAUUCUCCAUGAGCUGGAAUUGUUAGGAAAGGCACUGGAGCAAACAAUAUGCAUUGGAUGCAUUCAUUCCAAAGCAUCUAUUGAGUCAAGACCUGUAACAAGCACUAUGGAUAGAAAGCUAAUGUGUAACACAAAUUUCCUCCUGAAGGAAUCCAAAGUCCAAUGGUGAGCUGAAAAAUAUAAAAUAACUAUAACAGAAUAAUAUAUAUAAGAGAAUAUAAUAAGCACCUAUGUAAUAAGCGCUAUGACAGUAGCAUGAAGUUGGUGUAUAGAAGCCUCGCUGAGUUAAAGAAAGGGAACAGCUGCGGGAGAGAAUCUAGCUGAAGCAAAAGUCCAUGACACAGGCAAGCUGCGGUGGGGCAGAACUCGUCUGCUGAGUUCAGUGGUCACUCUGUCUCCUCGGGCCACAUCACCAUAACACCCUUCCAGCUCCUGGGGUAGAGCUCUAAGAACAGGCAAAAGGAAAAUUACAGUCUUCCCCUCUCCCCAACCAAAAAGGUAAGUAAGGGCACAUUCAUACCCUGACUAGAGCCGAAAGCUCUGUUUAAGGAAUAAAUUCUCUUAUUGGAAAUAUCCUUGAAUUUCACAGGUAUUUCAAAUGCUAUGUCUUAAAACCUCUAAAACUCAGACUCUAGCAUGUGUUUGCCAUUUGUCCCUACCUCUUUACUGACUCACCCAAGUGCUCUUUUUCUCUAAAGGUCAAAGAAAACCAGCUCUGAAAUAUUCUAAACAUUCCCACUGUUCCCACUAUUGUCAUCCAAGCUCUUUCAGAUGCGAGAUGGUUGCAGAUUACCCUUUCUAGAUUUUGCAUAUUAGCCACUUCACAAUCUUACUAUAUUAUCAUGUAUUACUAUACUACAAAGCUACACAAAAGAAAGUCUAAUACAGGCCCAACUUACCUCCCUCCCUCCCUCUCUCUCUCUCUCACACACACACACACACGCGCACACACGCACACGCACACGCACACAUCAUGGAUCAGGGCUAAAGAGAAUACAUGAAGAGGCAAACAAAACUUAGACCACUUGUCCCAUCCAUAAGCAUAUGAAAUAAAAUGAUGACUAAACAUAGCCACAAAAAGACAAAUAUUCUGAAUACCUUAGCCUAAUACCAUGAAUCUGACCAUAAUGUAGUUAGAUUGAGACAGAAAGAAAUCCAGUGAGAGACUAGGGUUAAAUCCCUUUGAACAUUAUAAGCAGAGACAAGGAUCAAGGAAAAUAACUAUUCAUUGAGCUGAACACUAAUUGGACUCAAUCAGUCAAGUUCUGCCUAGGGCGAUGGAAGACACUUUGCCAACUCUGCCAAAGAGAAAGGGGCUGCUGACUGUUUUUUUCCAACUCUCUCCUCAGUUACCCUACACUACCCUCAGUUCAAACAAGAGAGGAUCUAUUUACAGACAAAACUUCAUCAGUGGGCCAGGAUGUUUGGAUUUGUAGCCAGAUCAUCAAAUAGCUAUAUGGCCUAUAGUGGCAGAUGAAGAAUGGUGCUAAAUCAGCAAAUUAGCAGAAGCAGUUCAGUGGAGGAGAGAGAACCUUUUCGAUAAGUGAUAUAGGAACAAAUGGAUACCCAUAGGCAAAAAAAUCCCCAAAACAAUACUAAACUUUGACCUCAACAUCACACCUUAUACAGAACUUUACGUUAACUCAAAAUAGAUCAUAAACUUAAACGUAAAACAUGAAACUAUGAAACUUCCAGAAAAAACCAUAGGAGAGAAUCUUCUGUACCUAAGACUAGAUGAAGAGUUCUUAGACUUGACACCAAAAGCCUAAACCAUGAAAGAAAAUAAUUGAAAAAUUGAACCUCAUCAGAAUUAAAAUCUUUUGCUCUGUGAAAGACCUUGUUAAAAAAAACACAAAGACAAAUUACAGACUAGGAGAAAAUAUUUGUAAAUCACAUAGCCUACAAAGUUCUGUUAUCUAGGCUCUAUAAAGAACUCUCAAAACUUGGCACUAAAAAAAUCCCAUCAGAAAAUAGGCAAAAUACAGGAAGAGACAUUUAGCUGAAGAGGAUAUACAGAUAGCAAAUAAACACAUGAAAGGAUGUUCAACAUCGCUAGCCAUUUGACAAAUGCAAAUUAAAACCACAGUGAUAUAUUAAUGCACACCUAUCAGAAAGGCUAAAAUAAAAUAGUGAUAAUACCAAAUGCCAGGAAGGAUACAGAGAGACUGAAAACUCGCCCACUGCUGGUGAGAGUGUGAAAUGGUAAUGCCACUCUGGAACAUAGUUUAAGAGUUCCUUUCAAAACUCAAAAUGAACUUACCAUAUAACCUAGCAGUUGCAUUCUUGGAUAUAUAUCCCAGAGAAAUGAAAACUUACUUUCAUGCAGAAACUUUUACACAAUUAGUUGUAGCAGCUAUAUUCACAAUGUUUAAAACCUCAAUACCACCCAGCAUUCUUCAGUGGGUAUAUGGUUAGACAAAUUGUAGGCGAUGGGCAGAACAGAAAGGCUUCCCUCCUAAUCUGGGAAACUUCAACAGUAAAAUAACAAACAAAAAACAACAAAACAAAAGAAUAUCCAACAACAAGUAACAACAACAAAAACAUUACAAUCAGAAGAUGGGGAUAAGGAAUCUAUGGGUAUUUCACUGAAGAGGACAUACAGAUGGCAAAUAAGCACAUGAAAAGAUGCUCAACAUCAUUAGCCAUCAGGGAGAUGCAAAUUCAAACAAGAAGAUAGCAUCGCACUCCUAUCAGAAUGGCUAAAGUAGAAACAUAGUGACAACACCAAAAGCUGGCAAGAAUUCGGUGAAAAUGGAUCACUCCCACAUUGCUGGUGGGAAUGUAAGAUGGUGCAGCCACUGUGGAAAACAGGUUGUUAGGUUCUUCUAAAACUAAGCAUGCGCUAUCAUAGGUUCUAGCAAUUGCAUCUUUCUCCAUUUAUUCCAGAGAAACAAAAACAAAAAGUAAAUUCGAAUGUAGCUUUGUUCAUAACAGCCCCAAACUGGAAUCAGCUGAUGUAUCCUUCCACAGAAGAAUGAUUAAGCAAACUAUGGUACGUCCAUAGCAUGGAAUAUUACUCAGCAAUAAAAAGGACUGAACUAUUUAUACUUGCAACAGCUUGGAUCAAUUUCCAGGAAAUUAGGCCAAGUGAAAAAAAAGAAAAAAAAAAAAAAAAA
rnacentral:lncRNA from 1 species